rnacentral:lncRNA from 1 species
AGGAAAUUAUGUCUGGUGAGAUCAGUUGUUUUCUUGUUAAUGUUAUGGCUGUGCUAUUCUAAUGUACUUGCAUGUAAUGAUGAUAAAAUACUGUUUUGACAGUUUUUUCUGCACUAGAUAUGUAAUAUUUGUAUAUCUACGUGUCUUUCUGUACACUUGCUCUGUGUUCAUUUGCCUGCAGGCUGCUCAGAAACCUCAGCACUCGCACUGAAACAGAAAGUUUUUCAGAUUGCUCGUGAUCUUAACAAUCUCGCUGAUAAUCUUCCAGAUGAGCUUGACUGCGUGACCAGUGCUGCGAGACUAGUGGAUGAUCUGUCUCAGACCGUUGCAUCUCUAAGAUGCGUUUUGUCGAAUGGCAGCAAACCAUUUGAUCCGUCAGUUGAAGAAACUAAGACUAAGCCACAGAACCAAGACCAGAGCCAUAGUCAGUCUGAGGAAGACGCUGGCAGGCACACAGAGAGAGAGUGUGUGAUGUCUCUGGAUAUCUCUGAGUAUGAGCUGCAGAUGCUGGAGCAGCAGGCCAGACAUGAGCAGCUGGAGGAAGAGUGUAUCUUAGCUUUCCAGACUCAGCAGGCAUCAGCCCCCAAGAACUCUGAUGACAUGGAGAGUGAUGAAGAUUUUGAUGAUGAAAUGAUGAAGGUAAAGGGCAGGUCACGUUAUGUUUUCAGGUGAUAGCUGCAAAGUGAUUGUUCACAAAAUACAUUGUCACCCUUGUGUCUUUGAGGCUGUUAUUAAAUUGAGCUUGUCAAGCUCCAUAAUUACUAUAAAGAGCCAAGGAAAUUUCGAAAAACUCAUCUUGAAAAACUUGAGAAUGAGAUUAAUGAUGGCACUUUUUUCUGCGUUUCCAAGAGUAAAUCUUUACUCUUUGCUGUUUUUUCUCUUCUGUUGUUUGUCAGUGUGCUGCUGACAUAGAAAGAUUAAAUGGUAAACAUGGUCAUGAGAAACAGGAGCUCGUCCCACGGUCUGGUGCUGAAGAUGAUGAUGAGGAUGUUGAGGAAGAUGAGGAAGAGGGGUUUGGUAAAUUUACUGUCUUUGAUCCUUGAACAUAAAUAGCCUUCCAAAAUGUAUAUACAGUUAUAUAUUUUUUGUCAUGUAAACUUUGACUAAAAACGUGUCUUGUUUAGCUUGAAUAUUCUUCACAUUAUAUAUUUAUAUAACGUGAAUAGCAUUCAAGCUGAACAAGACAAGUCUUCUGCAGUGAGUGUGUGUGUGUGUGUGUAUAUAUAUAUAUAUAUAUAUAGUAGUAGUAGUAGUAGUAAGUAGUUGAACAAGAACAAGUACUUCUUGCAGUGAGUGUGUGUGUGUGUGUGUAUAUAUAUAUAUAUAUAUAUAUAGAUAGAUAGAUAGAUAGAUACAGUGCCCUCCAUAAGUAUUGGAACAGCAAAGACAAAAUUGUUCUUUGCACUGUGGAGUCAAGAAAUCUGUAAAUAUGAUUAAAAGAUGAAUAUGAGACAGAACUACAGAAUGUCACGUUGUAUUAUUGGAUGAUUCAACACAAAGAUGUUUUACCAGCUAAGAAGAUCAGCACUUUUAGGCUGCAUUUACACUGCAUGUCUUGAUACCCAAAUACGAUUUUCUGACUAUAUCCGAUUUUUUUGACGACCUGCUUACAUCAUCUUUUAAAAGUGACCCGUAUCUGAUUUUUGCAUUUACACUAUACACUGCUGAAACUACCAAACGUAAACAUUCUGACCGGGACAAGGAAGUAAAACAGCACGAAAUACAAUGGAUGCAGAUGCAAAUAAAAUUAUACAGUGUUUUGCUUUCCACAAUAUUUUGAAAAGUCAACAAAAAAAAUCAACAAAACAUUGGUCUCGUACGGCGGAGAAAAAAGCGCUUAAACCGUGCCUCCCCAUAUCUCGUGAAAUGUCUUCAAACAGAUUUAUUUCUGUAACAACCCUGCAUUUUUGCCUGCACUGUCUCUUCGCCCCAAAGACUUAAAAGACAUGAAACCUCCACAUUGCUCCACUGUGUGUAUCCUUCGUCCUCCAUCGCGCCUAUAAUAAGUCUUGUGAUCUCAGUUGGUGUUGUCCACCUGAGUUGACGUCACUUUUUUAAUGACGUACGACUCGCAUUUACUGGGGAAUAUCCUAUUUGUCUGCUUACAUGGCACACGCAAAUGCACGUAUCUGAUUCAUAUCCGAUUUAUUACCACAUAUGAAUGAGGCCUGAAUCCGAUCUGAGAAAAUCGGAAUCCAUGCGGUUUUUUCCUGCUUACACGUUCACCGGUCAUAUCCGAUCUGUGCCACAUGAGAGGAAAAAAUCGGCAUUAAUUCUUCAGAUAUUAAAAGCAGGGAAUGUGUCUCAUCAGUUAUAUCCAUUGCUUCUGCAUUCUACGUCUUGCAUUCGACGAUGACACACACAAACCAGGAUAAAGAUGAGGAAGCUGGCUCUGAAAGAAAAGCAAGCAAUUUGGAUGCUAAAAGAAAAAGAGGAAGUCAAUUAAAACUAUAGUAAAAACAAAGGGCAUGGAGAAAUCAAGAGUUUGGAAACUAACGGCGACAACACCAACCAACGACGACCUGAUCUGCUGAGAAAAACAACAGUAGUUGAUGACAGACAAAUCAUAAAAGCUGUGAAAAUUCAUGUCUGUAAAAUCACCAACAACCUCCAGAAAGCUGGGGUGAUGCUCUGUCAAUCUACAAUCCGCAGGAGAAUUUGACGCAGAAUUACAGAAACUACUCAGCAAGAUGCAAACCUCUGAUUAGCACCAAAAAUAGAAAGGCAAGAUUCUUCACAAAUGUGAGCCAGUAGAGUUUUGGAACUGAGUUGAUGGACCGAUGAUACAAAAAUUAACCUUUAUCUAAGUGAUUGGAAAGCAAAAGUGUGGAGAAAAAAGGGAACUGCAGUCAUCAAGGGUACAAAAUCAUCUUGGCUACCAAUAUUCAAGAAAAUGCCACCAAACUCAUUAGAAAGCACUUCAUAUUGGAUCAGGACAAUGACCCAAAACACCCUGCCAGUUCAGUCAAGGGCUUUAUCAGGGCAAAGAAAUGUAAAGUCUUAGAUUUCCCAAAUCAAUCUCCAGAUUUAAAUCCGAUUGAACAUUAAUUUUACCAGCUGAAGAGGAGACUAAAG